CUACGGGCUGCUGCAGUGAGGAAUAUUGCACAAUGGGGGGAACCCUGAUGCAGCAACGCCGCGUGGAGGAUGACGCAUUUCGGUGUGUAAACUCCUUUUAUAUGUCAAGAAAAUGACGGUAGCAUAUGAAUAAGCACCGGCUAACUCCGUGCCAGCAGCCGCGGUAAUACGGAGGGUGCAAGCGUUACUCGGAAUCACUGGGCGUAAAGGACGCGUAGGCUGGUUGGUAAGUCAGGUGUGAAAUCCUACAGCUUAACUGUAGAACUGCACUUGAAACUACCAACCUAGAGUAUGGGAGGGGGAGAUGGAAUUAGUGGUGUAGGGGUAAAAUCCGUAGAUAUCACUAGGAAUACCGAAAGCGAAGGCGAUCUCCUGGAACAUAACUGACGCUAAGGCGUGAAAGCGUGGGGAGCAAACAGGAUUAGAUACCCUUGUAGUC
rnacentral:rRNA from 1 species